CAGUAGGGAAUCUUCGGCAAUGGACGAAAGUCUGACCGAGCAACGCCGCGUGAGUGAAGAAGGUUUUCGGAUCGUAAAACUCUGUUGGUAGAGAAGAACGUUGGUGAGAGUGGAAAGCUCAUCAAGUGACGGUAACUACCCAGAAAGGGACGGCUAACUACGUGCCAC
rnacentral:rRNA from 1 species